AUGUGGCUAGUCAUACAGAAGAAGUGCCUUACGGCAGACAAUCUUCAGAAACGAGGCUGGCCUUGCAAUCGGGACUGCCCUCUUUGUUUAGCUCAACCGGAGAGCUGCUCACACCUGUUUGUGCAUUGUGGAUUCACACAGCAGCUCUGGAGCAGUUUCAAACAAUGGUCUGGAGUCGUGUUCCCCAUCCCGGACAGCAGUUUCGAUAGCACUGAGGACCGGUGGCUGGCGGCAAGGAAGGCAAUCCCAAAGCAAGCGCGCCGGAACUUUGACACAAUCGCCAUUCUUAUUCAUUGGAGAAUCUAGAAGGAGAGGAAUGCAAGAAUUUUUCAACACACAGCUUGUAAUAUUGAUAGGGUAUUAGACCUAAUCAAGGAGGAUAUUGGAGUGUGGAGAUCCGCCGGAUGUGUGGCUGAUUUAGUUAGCUAG
rnacentral:rRNA from 1 species